AGGGUUUGAUUAUGGCUCAGGACGAACGCUGGCGGCGUGCCUAACACAUGCAAGUCGAACGGAGCUUGAGGGGCUUGCCCUUCAAGCUUAGUGGCGGACGGGUGAGUAACGCGUGAGUAACCUGCCUCUCAGAGGGGGAUAACGUUCUGAAAAGGACGCUAAUACCGCAUGACAUCCCGGGGCCGCAUGGCCCUGGGAUCAAAGGAGCAAUCCGCUGAGAGAUGGACUCGCGUCCGAUUAGCUAGUUGGUGAGAUAAAGGCCCACCAAGGCGACGAUCGGUAGCCGGACUGAGAGGUUGAACGGCCACAUUGGGACUGAGACACGGCCCAG
rnacentral:rRNA from 1 species